AUUUAUAUAGUUUAACUAAAACAAUACAUUUUCAUUGUAUAGAUAAUAUAUAUUAUUAUUUAUAAAUA
rnacentral:tRNA from 1 species